ensembl:lncRNA
CUUUUCAUAGUCCACAGAAUGCCGUUUCUUUGGGUGCUGAAAAUGCUCUGGAUGGUAGCCAGUGCUUGUCACCACGGACCAGGAUGAGCCAACAGAGUUGUUUGCUGUAACAGGUCAUCCCCGCAAGACUUUUUCCACUCAGACUUUGAUGUGGGAUCCGUGCGUCGGCCACCGAGGCGCCUGUGAUGGAACACUGUGCCAAAUCGGACCUUAUCUCUUCUCAUCCUGUCAUCCAUUCAGCUAAACGUAAUCACAGAAGCCUCCAUGUGAACGCUUUGGAUACAAUAAAAGAUUUUGGUCACAUAAAAGGUAUUACGCCUAAGGCCACAGACUUUCACAGGAGUAUUUUAUGUUAGAUGUGUUGGCAUCCCCCCCUCUGCUGUAAUAGCGUGGGGCCUCCAGUCUGUUUCAUUAAAUUGCCUGCACAUGCUAUACAUUCCA